CAGCAGCCGCGGUAAUACGUAGGGUGCAAGCGUUAAUCGGAAUUACUGGGCGUAAAGCGUGCGCAAGCGGUUCGGAAAGAAGGAUGUGAAAUCCCAGGGCUCAACCUUGGAACUGCAUUUUUAACUACCGGACUAGAGUGUGUCAGAGGGAGGUGGAAUUCCACGUGUAGCAGUGAAAUGCGCAGAUAUGUGGAGGAACACCGAUGGCGAAGGCAGCCUCCUGGGAUAACACUGACGCUCAUGCACGAAAGCGUGGGGAGCAAACAGGAUUAGAUACCCCCGUAGUCCCUGUCUCUUAUAC
rnacentral:rRNA from 1 species